UGGAGCUCGACUCGGAGCCGUUCAGGAGCUGGACGAUCCGGUCGUAUUUUUUACGGGUCACCGUCUUGGUUUUUCCUGAGUCCCCGAGGAAAAACGGAUCUGGUGAAGGUUCCUCUUAUCCUUCCACUGUACGUGAUCAGUCUCUUUAAUAAUUGUGCAAGGCAGGACUAUCCCACUGGCUCCAGCAGCGUCUUACCCGGAGAGGGUUCGGGUGGAUAAAUAAUUAAAAUCCUAUCCCUCGGUAUAGCGAAGAAAAAAGAAAAUAUUGACUCGGAUCCUUCUUAUUUUCCAUACAUCAACUGCACCCGGAUUCACCCUGGAUAGUGCAGGUGAAGAAGAGGGAAGGAAAAAAAAAAAAAAAAGAACGGAAAGAAGAGAAAAAGCCCACCCUAGUCCGCCCCGGCAGCCCUCGGCUGUUUUCUCCGAAGGCUUUCUGAGCUUUCUGUCUCUGUCCUGGCGGGCUGUGUCUCUCCCCAAAGCCGCCGCGCCGCGCAGGAUGGAAGAAGCACUGAAGGGCACACUGGUCUCUUUGCUCCCCCUUUAUUCCAAGGCUGGGCGGCUUUGCUUCAGAUAUCCCCGCUCCGGGCAUGAAGGUACUGGAAAGAAAGAAAGUUCUUACCUGCUAUUUUCUAAGCCUAAUGCAUCCAAUCCGCGUUUAAAAUACAUAAUUUUUAAUUUUUAAAAAAUGGUCUGUGAGAAUUUCACUUCCUCAUAUUGAGUCCCAUUGAAUUUUCAUAUGCCCUUUCAGGAAUUUUCCUCUAUUUAUUUACAUAGCGAUCCCAGCCGAUGGAAGGGGAGGAAAAAAAAAAAAAAAAAAAAAAAGAAAGAAAGAAAGAAA